AGUAGACUGGACAAUGCUGACCACCACCCUCCAGGCCAUGGGCUUUGGCCCAAACUGGAUGAAAUGGAUGGGAGCCAUAUACUCUCACCCAACGGCAAAACUGAGAAUAAACGGCCAACUGUCGGGUCCAGUACACAUAAAGAACGGCACGAGACAGGGCUGCCCUCUCUCCCCCUUACUCUUUAUUCUCACCCUGGAACCCUUCUUACAGGGAAUACGGGACCACAACACCAUCCAUGGCUUUAAAGUUCACCAACAAGAAUUCAAGGUAUCUGCGUUUGCAGAUGACUUACUAUUUUCCAUCACCGACCCGCUCAUCUCCCUGCCUCCACUGAUAGCCGAACUGACGACAUAUGCCAAGUUAUCCAACUUUAAGGUCAAUUACACAAAGAGUGAAAUCCUACCCCUCCUAAUGGACAGACAAACACAAAACGCACUUAAAACCGCAUACCCUUUUGCAUGGGCUAGGAGGUCCAUCACCUACCUUGGGGUCCAUUUACCCAGACACUUGAAGCAUACAUACGAUCUAAACUUCAUGCCACUACUCACC